GUCCACGCCGUAAACGAUGGGUGCUAGGUGUGGGAGGUGUCGACUCCUUCCGUGCCGUAGCUAACGCAUUAAGCACCCCGCCUGGGGAGUACGGCCGCAAGGCUAAAACUCAAAGGAAUUGACGGGGCCCCGCACAAGCAGCGGAGCAUGUGGUUUAAUUCGAUGCAACGCGAAGAACCUUACCAGGGCUUUACAUGCACUGGAAAACCGUAGAAAUACGGUCCUCCUUCGGGACUAGUGCACAGGUGGUGCAUGGCUGUCGU
rnacentral:rRNA from 1 species